rnacentral:rRNA from 1 species
AUUGAACGCUGGCGGCAGGCCUAACACAUGCAAGUCGAGCGGUAGCACAGAGAGCUUGCUCUCGGGUGACGAGCGGCGGACGGGUGAGUAAUGUCUGGGAAACUGCCUGAUGGAGGGGGAUAACUACUGGAAACGGUAGCUAAUACCGCAUAACGUCGCAAGACCAAAGUGGGGGACCUUCGGGCCUCAUGCCAUCAGAUGUGCCCAGAUGGGAUUAGCUAGUAGGGGGGGUAACGGCUCACCUAGGCGACGAUCCCUAGCUGGUCUGAGAGGAUCACCAGCCACACUGGAACUGAGACACGGUCCAGACUCCUACGGGAGGCAGGAGUGGGGAAUAUUGCACAAUGGGCGCAAGCCUGAUGCAGCCAUGCCGCGGGUGUGAAGAAGGCCUUCGGGUUGUAAAGCACUUUCAGCGGGGAGGAAGGCGGUGAGGUUAAUAACCUCACCGAUUGACGUUACCCGCAGAAGAAGCACCGGCUAACUCCGUGCCAGCCGCCGCGGUAA